UGGAAAUGAUGAAAUGGAGGUAAUAGGGAAUAGUAAGGGGUGUGUAUAUUAGGUAAGGGGGGCAAAUUUUAGUCUGAAGUAAAAGGGGUUGGUUGUGUAAAAGCUAUAUAGUGAUGUAAACUGUGGGCACUGAUAAAGAAGCUGUUGAUUUCGCAGUGCAUCUGAGGCCUUGUUGCUAAAUCAUCUGGGUUUACUGCAACAUUGCCAGUGAUUAGAGCCCAAAAUAAGCUCGCAGUUUGCAUCUAGACAUUUUAAACCUCUAACAGGUUCCUUUUGUUAGGCAAAAGGAAUGUGAUCUGAUCCAA